rnacentral:rRNA from 1 species
AGCGAACGCUGGCGGCAUGCUUAACACAUGCAAGUCGCACGGGCAGUAGCAAUACUGUCAGUGGCGGACGGGUGAGUAACGCGUAGGAAUCUAUCCUUGAAUGGGGGACAACCGUGGGAAACUACGGCUAAUAUCGCAUGAUGCCUGAGGGCCAAAGACGAAAGUCGUUUGAGGAGGAGCCUGCGUCUGAUUAGGUAGUUGGUGGGGUAAAGGCCUACCCAAGCCUACGAUCAGUAGCUGGUCUGAGAGGAUGAUCAGCCACAUUGGGACUGAGACACGGCCCAAACUCCUACGGGAGGCAGCAGUGGGGAAUAUUGGACAAUGGGCGCAAGCCUGAUCCAGCAAUGCCGCGUGGGUGAAGAAGGUCUUCGGAUUGUAAAGCCCUUUUGGCGGGGACGAUGAUGACGGUACCCGCAGAAUAAGCACCGGCUAACUCCGUG